GAUGAACGCUGGCGGCGUGCCUAAUACAUGCAAGUCGAGCGAACGGACGAGAAGCUUGCUUCUCUGAUGUUAGCGGCGGACGGGUGAGUAACACGUGGAUAACCUACCUAUAAGACUGGGAUAACUUCGGGAAACCGGAGCUAAUACCGGAUAAUAUUUUGAACCGCAUGGUUCAAGAGUGAAAGACGGUCUUGCUGUCACUUAUAGAUGGAUCCGCGCUGCAUUAGCUAGUUGGUAAGGUAACGGCUUACCAAGGCAACGAUGCAUAGCCGACCUGAGAGGGUGAUCGGCCACACUGGAACUGAGACACGGUCCAGACUCCUACGGGAGGCAGCAGUAGGGAAUCUUCCGCAAUGGGCGAAAGCCUGACAGAGCAACGCCGCGUGAGUGAUGAAGGUCUUCGGAUCGUAAAACUCUGUUAUUAGGGAAGAACAUAUGUGUAAGUAACUGUGCACAUCUUGACGGUACCUAAUCAGAAAGCCACGGCUAACUACGUG
rnacentral:rRNA from 1 species